rnacentral:lncRNA from 1 species
UGGCACACAUCUCUCUCCCUCACCCCCUCCUCCACCACCGGCCGCUGGCGUGGCGGUGCGCCUACUGCUCCUCCACUCAGCCACGAGCACCAUCUGCCGCACCAUCCAUCCAUCUCAGCCGCGCCAUCCAUCCACCACUCCACCAGCGCCGCAUCCCCAACAUCCAACACCACCGCGCCACACCACCAGCAGCCUCCAUCCGCCAAACCACUAGUACACCACCGCCAUCGCCAACUCCCUCUUCCUUCCUCUGCUCUCUCAACCUCCCGCUGCUGCUUCUGCUCCAAUCCCCACGCUGCUCACAUUACUUUUCCUUGCUGUUGUUCCUUUACUGAAGAAAACAACCUGCUGCUGUUCUGCACUUGUUGUUGUUCUGAACUCUGAACUCCUGCUGCUGCUUAUUUCGUGCCCAAGCUGCUGCUCCUCUCUUUCUUGCAACACCUACUGCUGUUCUUCUCCUUCUCCUAACCUUGUUGUUGUUCUUCUCUGAACUCCUACCUCGCUGCUACUCUGCUUCCUCACCUCUGUUCCUGCUACUUCUCUUUUGAACCACAAACUGUUGCUGCUCUCUUUCUUUCUCUUCCUCCCUCUCUUUCUAUGCAUGUGUGUGUAAUUUCUGUGAGUUAUUAGUGGAUGCUAGAUCAACCAUAUUCAAAUCAGUAUCAGUUCUAUAUGUGUCUGUAUGUCAGCUAGUUUACUAUAACAAAUUGUGCUUUUAUUUUAUAUUGAGAUUGAUCUUUGUGAAGUCAGAUGUGUGAUUGUGUUUGAUCUCUAGUUAAUAGUUAGUUAAGUACCUGUGAUAUAUAUACAUAUGUGUGUGUCUGUGAUGUGAUACAUUUAUGUUCUGUCCUACAACCUUGUUUCUUCCCCCUGUUAAUUAUAUAUAUUCAUGUCUUUUUAAUUCCCUAGCAGUUUGAUGUUUGCUUGUGCUAGCAUUUUAUUUUUCAAGUUUAAUGAAAAUACCAAAAAGACAGUGAUUGCAAUCUUAUGCUACCUAUGCUAGUUUGCAAUUUCUUUGUCGUCAAUCCUUGUUAGUGUUAGGUUUAUUUUCUGUUUUCAUCACCCAAUAUCGUGUUACCUAGAUUUAGCCGAGCGUAAUCGCCGUCGCCUAGUCCCUGUGAGGAACAACGACAUCCAUAGUUUGGGCGUUAAAACCCCACUAUAUUUACAAGUGAUCAUUUUGGCGCCGUUGCCGGGGAUUAGCGUUGAGUGACCGUGUUAGGCUAUAGACUAGGUUUUUCUUCUUUUUCUAUUUUGUGCCAUAUAUUUGUGAUAUAUCUCUUACCCCUAACCACUGCUCUAGUUAUCUUCUCUUUCUUUUCUUGUUCAUGUUGUAUGUUGAAUUGUCUUCUUGGAAAGGCAUUCUCCUCAGAUCAUCAUGCUUAUGCGAGCAACACUACAAACAUCACGGAAAGUAUUUAAGAACUAAUAAGUAAGAUUUCCCAUCGAUUAGAUGAUUUAGCUCGGUAGCGAGAAGUAGUUUUUGAGGAUAGGCCGCUCUUAUGAUCCUUAUUCCGGAGGCCAUCCUUAUGUUGCUCCUACUUGCCAUAUUUGUGGUUUUCAGGGCCAUUCGCCCGCUGAAUGUCAACAUGGUUACUCUCACACUUCAGAUUGUUUUGGCAUGAGCUUCGCUCAAGAGCAUAGCUCAUACCAAAACAAUUACUCACAUGGGUGGCCUGAUAACCCAAUUAUGUCAUAUAGGAGCAACAACCCUGAGAUCUCAUCGUUUGCCUCUAGUUAUCCAAUGCAGGGAUUUAGGUACAAUGAGGAGAGCCACAACUAUGCUCCACAACAGUCUUAUUCAGCUCCUAUUCAUAUACCUCAGCACCAGGAGAUGUGUCCAAUGGAGUUAAAUGGUCCUCCAUUUGGUCAACCAAUAACUUCAGCACCUAAUGAGUCGGUAGAGCAAUCUCAUGUGCAAGUGCCCACACAAGAUGAGUUUGAUGGCAUAGACAAGCUCACACUUUUUAGUCUCGAGUUCACUUGGAGUGUUGAGGAUGAUCCUAUUAGGAAGGUUAUACUAGAGGAAAUGAAGAAGAUCAAGAGUGGAAAAGAGCUAGUGGAAGAAGUAAGGAAGAUUGAGAAGAACAUCAACGCUGGCAGCACUAUUUCUUCACAGCUAGAGAUGAGUAUUUCUGGGAUAUCCUUUGAUACAUGUGAGGUUCCAACACCGUCACAUACAGCUGAGCAAGAUAGCAAGAGUUCAGAGGAAGAGAGACCUCAGAUUUAAGAUGAACUAGAAGACAAGGAACAAGAUGAUCAAGAGCUGCAAUUUCCAUGUGAUCAAGUUGAAGACUCAUCAUCUACUACUCCUAAAGAAGUACAAGAAGAUGUUGUAGAUGAAGAUGAAGAACCUGAGAUUCACUGUCCUAUUGUCAUACAUGAGUGUGAUGUGUCAGGUUUACCCAAUCCUCUUGAUGACAUGCUACCUUGUGAUUUCUUUGCUUCUAACUUGCAUUGCAUGAUGCCAUCACUUAAGGUAGAUUUGAAAAACUAUUUGCUUGGACAUGAUCAUACACACCUUGUUAGUGGCAUUACUCUCAUUUGUGAUGAUCACAGUUACUUUCCUCGUGCUAGUUCUAUGCUUAAUGAAACAUAUCAUUCCCAUGCUAGUCUUGAGCUUAAUGAUAAAUAUCAUCCUCAUGUUAGUGUUGACCUUGCUGAUUUCUACCAUCCUAAACAUGUGCUUUAUAGCUAUGCUUAUGUAAUUGGAUAUUCGAUUGAUGACUUGGAGGGUAUUAUCCCUACCGCUUGCAUUGUUUCUUUUGUUGAGUGCCCUUUCAGGUUUUUGCUACUGCACCGUUCACUACAUGCUGACCAGGUUCGAGGUGACAUCCCUUGGGAUCCUGGUGGAGUCAGAGCAUGGCGAUGAGGAGAAGCAAGGGGCACACACGAAGAAGAGUGAAGCUGGAGCAUGCAUGAGGAAGCAAAAGGAGAGGAGUCGUAAUGCACGAGGAUGUAAGAGUGAUCGAGCGAGACCUACAUCAUAUAAUCCCGGUGAGCUGUUUCAUGACCCCAAUAUGAAUACCAUCAUACAUUAUACAUGCUGUAAUCAACUGCCAUUUGGGUCGCUUGAGCAAUUUCUUAAAUAUUGUCCCACUGAAUUUUACCUUCGACAUAGGGUGAUUGAUGUGAAUAUGUGAACUGAGUGUUGAAUGCCUUGUAAACUAGUGAUCUACACAAUGCUUGCUUUGCUGAAAGUAGUGAAAGCUAUUAGUUUUGAGUGCUCAAAUCCCUAGUACACUAGAAAACUUAAUCAUUUUCUGCUUUUACCUUGAUACACCUAGAUCAUUAAGUGUCAAAUGCUGAGUUUGUGCCUAAUGUGUUCCCAUUGAGAGCAAUCACCUAACCACUAUGGAUUAGCAUGCUAUGUUCCCUGGAUCGGUAGCAUGUGAACCAGACAUGGAGAAGUGAUGAUUCCAAUUUUUGUGCUUAUGUGUUGUUCAUUUAAAAAAGUAUAUCUUACAAUAAAUAAGUAUCUGAUCUUACCUAACAGUAGCAUGUCAUGUUCCCUGGAUUGGUGGCUUGUGAAAUCUGCCAAGUGAAGGGAACCUUUGGCACAAUCAUCAUUCGAACUAGUUGAUCUUCUUUUAUCAUUGUAAAAGUUUAAAAUGGUCAAGUCUACUAGUAUCCUACCGCUUUGAAGCACUCCUAACCAUUAAUUUUCACUAGCUAAGUCCAAAGCAUGCACUGGUUAUAGAUCUACUUCACUUGGCAUUCUCUAGUCAGUUCUCCAUUCACUAUCGAGUUCGUGUCAUAAGCCUUUACUAGAGGACAAGUAAAGAUUUAAGUGUGGGGGGAACUUGAUAAGCACAUUUAAUAUAUACAAUUUGGGCACACAAAUAUACCAUUUAUUGUGAUCUGACCAUUAAUUCUUGCUAUGAACUGUUGCAUAUGUGCAUGAAAAUCAUAUAAGGAAUCAUUUACUAGCAUAUGUUUCCUUUGCAGAAAAGUGUGAGAAGACACUAUAAACUUCAAGAUCCGGAAUAAGUGGCUAAGAGAACGAAGAAGAGGAGGAAUAAUAUACUUGUGCGAGAAGAAACGAGGUAACCAGGGGGCCAACUAUAGAAGAGAGUAUCAUCUUGUGCCAAAAGAAGAGAAGGAGGGCAAAAGUGCAAAAUGGAACGAAGAAGAGGAGGAAGAAUAUACUUGUGCGAGAAGAAAUGAAGUAAGGCCCGAUCCAAAAUUGAGGCAUGCUAGGGAUUUUGAUCCCCUCCCUGAUCUGCCAUUUUGCACUUUUGCCCUCCUUCUUCUCUUCUUUUGGCACAAGAUGAUCCUCUCUUCUAUAGUUGGCCCCCUGGUUACUUUGUUUCUUCUCGCACAAGUAUAUUCUUCCUCCUCUUCUUCGUUCCAUUUUGCACUUUUGCCCUCCUUCUCUUCUUUUGGCACAAGAUGAUCCUCUCUUCUAUAGUUGGCCCCCUGGUUCAUCCAUCCAUCCCAGCCGCGCCGCGCCAUCCAUCCACCACUCCACCAGCGCUGCAUCCCCAACAUCCAACACUGCCGCGCCACACCACCAGCAGCCUCCAUCCGCCAGACCACCAGUACACCACCACCAACGCCAACUCCCUCUUCCUUCCUCUGCUCUCUCAACCUCCUACUGCUGCUUCUACUCCAAUCCCCACGCUGCUCACAUUACUUUUCCUUGUUGUUGUUCCUUUACUGAAGAAAACGACCUGCUGAUGUUCUGCACUUGUUGCUGUUCUGAACUCUGAACUCCUGCUGCUGCUUAUUCCGUGCCCAAGCUGCUGCUCCUCUCUUUCUUGCAACACCUUCUGCUGUUCUUCUCCUUCUCCUAACCUUGCUGUUGUUCUUCUCUGAACUCCUACCUCGCUGCAGCUCUGCUUCCUCACCUCUGUUGCUGCUACUUCUCUUCUGAACCACAAACUGCUGCUGCUCUCUUUAUUUCUCUUCCUCCCUCUCUUUCUAUGCAUGUUUGUGUAAUUUCUGUGAGUUAUUAGUGGAUGCUAGAUCAACCAUAUUCAAAACAGUAUCAGUUCUAUAUGUGUCUGUAUGUCAGCUACUUCACUAUAACAAAUUGUGCUUUUAUUUUAUAUUGAGAUUGAUCUUUGUGAAGUCAGAUGUGUGAUUGUGUUUGAUCUCUAGUUAAUGUGUUAGUUAAGUACCUGUGAUAUAUAUACAUAUGUGUAUGUCUCUGAUGUGAUACAUUUAUGUUCUGUCCUACAACCUUGUUUCUCCCCCCUGUUAAUUGUUAGAUAGUUAUAUAUAUAUUCAUGUCUUUUUAAUUCCCUAGCAGUUUGAUGUUUGCUUGUGCUAGCAUUUUAUUUUUCAAGUUUAAUGAAAAUACAAAAAAGGUAGUGAUUGCAAUCUUAUGCUACCUAUGCUAGUUU